rnacentral:rRNA from 1 species
GAAGGUGGGGACGACGUCAAGUCAGCAUGCCCCUUAUACCCUGGGCUACACACGUGCUACAUUGGGUAGGACAAUGAGACGCCAAACCGUGAGGUCGAGCUAAUCUACAAACCUACUCUAAGUUCGGAUUGGAGGCUGCAACUCGCCUCCAUGAAGUUGGAAUCGCUAGUAAUCGCUGGUCAGCAACACAGCGGUGAAUCCGUUCCCGGGCCUUGUACACACCG